CUGCCUACGGGAGGCAGCAGUGAGGAAUAUUGGUCAAUGGGAGAGAUCCUGAACCAGCCAAGCCGCGUGAGGGAAGACGGCCCUAUGGGUCGUAAACCUCUUUUGUCAGGGAGCAAAGGCGUCCACGUGUGGACGAGAGGAGAGUACCUGAAGAAAAAGCAUCGGCUAACUCCGUGCCAGCAGCCGCGGUAAUACGGAGGAUGCGAGCGUUAUCCGGAUUUAUUGGGUUUAAAGGGUGCGUAGGCGGAGUGUCAAGUCAGCGGUAAAAUUUCGGGGCUCAACCCCGUCGUGCCGUUGAAACUGAC
rnacentral:rRNA from 1 species